rnacentral:ncRNA from 1 species
UGUUCACCCACCAAUAGGGAACGUGAGCUGGGUUUAGACCGUCGUGAGACAGGUUAGUUUUACCCUACUGAUGAUCGUGUCGCAAUAGUAAUUCAACCUAGUACGAGAGGAACCGUUGACUCACACAAUUGGUCAUCGCGCUUGGUUGAAAAGCUAGUGGCUUAAAGCUACCGUGCGCUAGAUUAUGACUGAAUGCCUCUAAGUCAGAAUCCAGGCUAGAAGCGACGCAUGCGCCUGU